GAUGAACGCUGGCGGCGUGCUUAACACAUGCAAGUCGAACGAUGAAAGCGGGAGCUUGCUCCUGCUGGAUUAGUGGCGAACGGGUGAGUAACACGUGAGUAACCUGCCCUUGACUCUGGGAUAAGCGUUGGAAACGACGUCUAAUACCGGAUACGACCUUCGGAGGCAUCUCCUGGGGGUGGAAAGAAUUCGGUCAAGGAUGGACUCGCGGCCUAUCAGCUAGUUGGUGAGGUAAUGGCUCACCAAGGCGACGACGGGUAGCCGGCCUGAGAGGGUGACCGGCCACACUGGGACUGAGACACGGCCCAGACUUCCUACGGGAGGCAGCAGUGGGGAAUAUUGGACAAUGGGCGAAAGCCUGAUCCAGCAAUGCCGCGUGAGUGAUGAAGGCCUUAGGGUUGUAAAGCUCUUUCGCCUGAGACGAUGAUGACGGUAUCAGGAGAAGAAGCCCCGGCUAAUUCCGUGCCAGCAGCCGCGGUAAU
rnacentral:rRNA from 1 species